UACAAUGGAGAGUUUGAUCCUGGCUCAGGAUGAACGCUAGCGGCAGGCCUAACACAUGCAAGUCGAGGGGUAACAGGAAAGCUUGCUUUUGCUGACGACCGGCGCACGGGUGCGUAACGCGUAUGCAACCUACCUCAUACUGGAGGAUAGCCCCUGGAAACGGGGAUUAAUACUCCAUAGUAUCACGAAUUCGCAUGUUUUUGUGAUUAAAGUUUUUCGGUAUGAGAUGGGCAUGCGUCCCAUUAGCUUGUUGGUGAGGUAACGGCUCACCAAGGCAACGAUGGGUAGGGGGCCUGAGAGGGUGGUCCCCCACACUGGUACUGAGACACGGACCAGACUCCUACGGGAGGCAGCAGUGAGGAAUAUUGGUCAAUGGAGGCAACUCUGAACCAGCCAUGCCGCGUGAAGGAUGACGGCCCUAUGGGUUGUAAACUUCUUUUAUAGAGGAAGAAACUUGUCUACGUGUAGACAACUGACGGUACUCUACGAAUAAGGAUCGGCUAACUCCGUGCCAGCAGCCGCGGUAAUACGGAGGAUCCAAGCGUUAUCCGGAUUCAUUGGGUUUAAAGGGUCCGUAGGCGGGUCUUUAAGUCAGUGGUGAAAGCCGACAGCUCAACUGUCGAACUGCCAUUGAUACUGGAGACCUUGAGUACAAAUGAAGUAGGCGGAAUGAGUCAUGUAGCGGUGAAAUGCAUAGAUAUGACUCAGAACACCGAUUGCGAAGGCAGCUUACUAACAUGUAACUGACGCUGAGGGACGAAAGCGUGGGGAGCGAACAGGAUUAGAUACCCUGGUAGUCCACGCCGUAAACGAUGGAUACUAGCU
rnacentral:rRNA from 1 species